AACGAACGCUGGCGGCAUGCCUAACACAUGCAAGUCGAACGAGACCUUCGGGUCUAGUGGCGCACGGGUGCGUAACGCGUGGGAACCUGCCCUUAGGUUCGGAAUAACUCCCCGAAAGGGGUGCUAAUACCGGAUAAUGUCUUCGGACCAAAGAUUUAUCGCCUUUGGCUGGGCCCGCGUUGGUUUAGCUAGUUGGUAGGGUAAAAGCCUACCAAGGCGACGAUCCAUAGCUGGUCUGAGAGGAUGAUCAGCCACACUGGGACUGAGACACGGCCCAGACUCCUACGGGAGGCAGCAGUGGGGAAUAUUGGACAAUGGGCGAAAGCCUGAUCCAGCAAUGCCGCGUGAGUGAUGAAGGCCUUAGGGUUGUAAAGCUCUUUUACCCGGGAUGAUAAUGACAGUACCGGGAGAAUAAGCUCCGGCUAACUCCGUG
rnacentral:rRNA from 1 species